ensembl:lincRNA Fzd10os frizzled class receptor 10, opposite strand
GCCCUCAGCCCCAGCUCGGGGCUGGACCCCAGCCUCCAGCCUCACCUCCUGCCGGCCUCUCUGCUUGCCCUCCCCGCCCCAGGGGGGGUGUGGGGGUGGGAGGCCUUGAGAUUGUCCCCGGUACCCCAAGGACGCCGAGGUUACGGGAAGUUUGGGGACCUGGCUUAAGAUGGAGUGAAUAUCAGACAGCUACAAGGAAGGAUUUAGAAGCAGGCCACUUGGGAUUUACUAGCCAGCAGACUCCCUGGCUAGUUGAGUGUGUGAGUGUUUGCCUGUAAGUGUACCUGUACACAUGCCUACUUGGUGGCCGAGGAGGCCAGAAGAGGGUGGUCAGAUCUCCUGGAACUGGAGUUAUAGGCGGUUGUGGGCCACCAUUUGGGUCCCGGGAAACUGAACCUGUGUCCUCUGCAAGAGCAGCAAGUGUUCUUAACGGCUGAGCCAUUUCUUCGGCCCCCUUUCUUCAACUCUCCAUUGUCCUGCUAGAAGGCAGGAUGACUUCACCGACAACCUCAUGCAGGAGUGGAACCAAUCUCCUUCCCCGUGGGUGGCUGGGCAUGUAGCUCCCUCUUUCUGUCUUGAGUGUUGCCAAGGAAAAGGGGCUGCAGAUCUUCCCUGGAUUGCAGAGUGGGAGACAAAGCAAGGGCCCCAGAACAGCUCUCUGGAUGCUCCUGGCUACUGAAUCAACUGCAGAGCGCCCUCUGUGGCUGGGGUCUGACACUGAUACCCCUCCUGGCCUUAUGGACACAGAUCCAGCUCGGCCUCACAGUGAAUUCAAUGGUUCCUGAAGCUUGUGCUCUGCCCGCCCAUCUUCAUCCACAGGACAACUUGAGAGCCAGACUUCUCUCUGUGGUAUGAGGCCCCAGUAUCCUGAGUUCUUCCAGGAGAAAGAAGAUGGCAUAGAAGAAGUGAGGGAGAGAGCAAACGUCUGACUCUGGGGUGCUUAUCUGUGUGGAAGAGACCGGUUCUUCCUGACUGGCUUCAUGUCCCUCAAGAUCCCAAGAAGGCUAUGGCCAUUUCAAAGCCAGAGAAUAGGGGCAGAGAAUAGGGGCAGAGACUCAGCAGCCUGCUCCUGGGUGCAAAGAGACAAGGCCAGGUGCAGCCUAUGCUCACAACCCUGGAAGCUUGGUGGUGGUGGAGUAGGUUCUCCCUGUGAGGAAUGAUCUGUCCAUCAUUGAAGAUGUCCAGUAUGGAACCCUAGGACAAGCUGGGGCUCCCAUGAUACAUGGAGGAAGCAGACUGAUGGUGGCAUGUACUGGACUCCAGUAAGGCUAUGGAUGUUAUUGUCUUCUAUAAGGCUAUGGAUGUUAUCACAGACCUGUCACCAACUAUACUAAUGUUUGCACUCGAGUGAGGCCUUGACUUGGUCCCCAUUUCUCUUUGUCAAUAUGUUCCUGGAUCCUCACCACCAAUAAGAGCCAGCAGAGACACCAAACAUACUUGCUCUGCCGUUCACAUACAGCCAUCACAGAAGACAUAGGCAAGAUGGUUUAUCUUCAUUUGCACCUUGGCAGGACUUAGAAUCACAACAGCAACAUUGCUGGGUGUGUCUAUGCCGGUUUUUAAAGACCUGGUUAACUGAAGAAAGAAGAUGUACCAUGAAUGUGGUUGCUACUGUCCUAUGAGCUGGGGGACCUGAACUAAAUAAAAAGAUGACAGUGAGCUGAGCACCAGCAUCCAUCUCCCUUUGCUUCCUGACUGUGGAUACAAUGUGACCAGCUGCCUCAGGCUCCUGCCGCCAUGCCUUCUCUGCUAUGAUGGACUGUAUUCUCAACCUAUGAGUCUAGAUAAGCCCUUCCUCCAGUUCCUUUUGUCACAGUGAUUAGAAAGAUGACUAAAACUGUAAAAUACAAAUUUCAGGCAGAGACAUGACAGUCACUGGAUCCUGAUAUAGGGACUUCUCACAUCUCUGCUCACACUUCAUUCUGAAAUAUAGAGUUGUAGGGAGUCAGGCUUAUACAAAACAGGCAGGGCGGAUCUCACUGUCUCACUGUGUGAACCCUGUCAAAAUCUUGUGUUCUUGUGUCUCCUGAAAUCUCCCCCCAUCAUGAAAAAAAAUUAUAUAUUUUAUAUAUAUAUAUAUAUAUAUAUAUUUUUUUUUUACAAAGGUCAUAAACUUU